UGAGACGUGGUCUUGUAACACAGUGGUUAAGAAUGUGACUUUGGAGCCAGCCUGCUAGGGGCUGAAUUCUGACUCAGCCAUUUACUAACUGUGUGACCUUAGGUGGAGUCUCACUCUGUAGCCCAAGCUGGAGUGGUGUGAUCUCGACUCACUGCAACCUCCGCCUCCUGGGCUCAAGUGAUUCUCGUGCCUCAGCCUCCUGAGUAGCUGGGACUACAGGUCACAGAAUUUUCCACACUCCUUGACGGAGGUGCUUAACCCUUAUCCAUCAGCAUUCUCAGACAGCACCUCCGGUUAGGGACAGUAUCUGACCGUCCGACAUCCCUGCAGCCCCCAUGUGUCACACAGACUCAGCCUCAGGUAGAUGGUUUCCGUAGAUGGUGGCUUUCUUUGGACCCUUGACAUCAACCAGUUACUAUUUGCCAGAGACAGACUCCCAGACUCGGCCAGAGGCUGAUGCCGACUCCUUCCAGCUCUCACGGUAACCAUGAGGCCCCUGCGUGUUUCUGCUGUGGAGGUCCCAGAGGGAACUGUAUGGACAGACACAGCCUGAAGGGCCAUCUGCCUCAAGCCACAGCAGCACAGAAUUCUAAAGAUUGUGGGGAAGGAUGGCGCCUAGGGGACCAGAUGUGCAGAGGUAAUGAAUACCAGGGAAUCAGGAAACCACUGGAUCAGUUCUUUGAGCCACAGAACAACACUCAUCCCAGCAGCUGGGAAGCUAUCUGCAAAAGUCCAUCUGCAGAAAGGGCUUCCUGGUCUUGCGUGUGGCUGGGCCAUUUCUCUGGAUGCAGGUUUUUCAUUAUACAGUCUUCUCAAAGAAACACCUGCUCUCAACACCUUCUCGGUGACUCCAUUUCCCCUCCUCU
rnacentral:antisense_RNA from 1 species